CAUUAUUAACCAGACGCAGUGAUCACUGGCAGACAGUGAAUGAGGACAGAAAAGGCAUUAAAACAGAAGCAUCAAAGGCAAGGGCCACGCGCAGUCAUGGCCAAAGUCCCUGCUAAAGUGAUUGAGAUUCUACGCUGACCAGAGCCAGCCCCGCUUCUUCUGCCUUCCGCCCCCGACGGCUCAGCGGGCUCCGCCCAGGGCGGCUCGGACCCAAGACGCGUCCCGUUUCAGCACCGGGGGCUGCGGACAGCGCCCUCCCGCCCUUGCGCGCCACCGCCCCACUCCCUGGCAUGUAGUUCUUUAACCCAGCCCCUGGCCGGAGUCUGCGUCCCCAGCACACCUCCCAGCGUCCCAAGAACUCCUACUUCAAAACCCUAAAAUCCUUACCCUGCCAAAGUUUGGUUUCUCCGCGGGCGCGCCUCCGUCUGGCACAGCCUCUCCUCGUCGCUCCUUCUUGCGCUGGGCAGCAGCUCGAGCUGGCUCCCUCCCCCACGCCCGGCCCGGUCUCUCCUCUGGGGACGGCGGAAGGAGCCUGUUGCCACCCUCUCUGGGAAAGUCAGGUGAGGCUCUGGAGCCUCAGAGGCGGUCUGAAAGAGGUAGAAGCCUCUCACUCAUGCCCCCAUCCCCUUCAAAGGAAGAGCGGGUGAGUCAGGAGCAAGCAAGCAGCCAAGUCCUUCUGUCACCUCUGGAUUCUCGCCUAACCCCGGGCGGGCGGCCACCUCGGACUCCUUGGGAUGUUUCACCACUGGUAUAAUCCACACGGAAUGGAUGAGGACACAGCAAAGAUCAGGGACUUUGAAGUUUAAGUGUAUGUUUCUGAAACCUGUUAACAACUUUAUAGAAGAUUUUAGAAACAAGUUUUUGCCUUUGGGGUAAUGUGCAUUUCCCUUGGAGAGUUUUUGUUUCCUUCUGUCACAGCAGGCAACACCAGACUCUCUGAACCGUCAUAAAAAGUAAAACGCACCAAUCCAACUAGUAUUCACUACCCUCUACUGAGGCCAAAAGAAUUUAAACUUUUUUUGGAGAAAAUAAUUUUAUAUAAUGAAACCUCCACAUGUCUCCAAACUCAAUUUCCCCACAGAAGGUAUACUCCACGGACACACAGCUCCAUGAAGAAUGGAGACCUAAUCCCACCGUCAUGCUCACUGGCACUCUCUGGUUCUGGAGGGUGGGAGCAGGUCCCAGGAGAAAUCUGAGCCUUCUUGGCUGGGCUAAGGCCUGGACACUCUCUCCGGUUCCAGGUUCUCAAGGCUGACACCCUCUUGGGAAGAAAUACCACAAAAGCAGAUCCCACAGCAGCCAGCCAAUUGGAGCUUCUCUGAGGAUUUGGAGCUCAUGGCCCUUCUUGAACAUACCUAUCAACUUGUCUGUUUUGGGAACAGAUUAUCUUCGGAAGUUGUAAAUCUUUGAGUUCAUGCAACACUUGAUGGGAGAGGUGAAGUGUAUACUAUUCAAUGGAGAAAUUAGGAUGGUGCAUGUACACACUCGCAUGCACACACAUACACUCAUCUUAAAGAAGGGAAAUAAAACCAAGAAAAAUUUUCCUCAGAGAAAAGUUAGGUUUAAUUGUUCAGAUUCAAGGGAUUCUGGGAGUGAGAGAGCAAAUAAAUGGAAGAGGUGAAUCAACAAAAUGAAGCUGAAGCCACAGAAAUUGAAGGAGAGGUGAAUUCUUGUUUUGUUAUCUGGGCUUCUGGAAGGAAUCUGAAAUUAAUUUAGUACAAGAGAAAACAUAAUUUAUGAGACUGAGCUUCAUCAAGGACUUUAGUGUCCUUAUUCCAGGGAAUCUACAACAUACCUCAGUUACCAUGUGCAAUUUUUUUUUUUUUUUGUCAGGAAAUGCUUUCUUCCCUCUAAUCCCUGUAAUUUAUACUACAAGUCAAAGCUGUUUCCUGCUGGCUUGUCCUGAGGGAAGACCAGAAGCAGAUGAUUCUGUUCUGUUGUCUGGGAACAUUUCAAAGUUUCAAAAGAAUCUUUAAUGCUGAUUUUGGAGAAAGUAAUUCUUAUCAUGAGAUAAUUUUAAGGCAUCAUUCUGAAAAAUGAAAAAUCCCUCUAGACUUUGUUUCUGAAAUGCACACGAUUUCUAAGAUUUGAGGGAGAAAACAGGACCUUACAAAAUUAAUCAUAAAAUGAAGAAGUCAUUGAGGCUGAUGAGAUAGGUCAUUUAGCACAGUAUUGGGCAUAUACUUGGCCCUUAGGAAAUGAUGUGUGUUCAAUAGUUAUCACUGAAGAACUUGGGUACCUGAAAGGUAGAAACACAUAAUGGAAAUACACAACAGAAUGAGUAGAGAAGGGCCUGAAGGGGAUAUAUCUGUGAAUUUGCCUGCAAAAAGCAUCCAGCUGUAAGAUACUAGGCUACCAGGAUGGAGAGUCCAGAUUUGGCCCAAGACCCACUCAGUGGGGUGGCUUCUGGGGACCUAUCCUAUUGCUCAAGUCUCAAUUGAAGAAUGGCACAGUUGGAAGAGUCAGCAAUGUUUUGUCAAGAUGCAGGACACAACCAGCACCAGGCAAUCCCAGAUGAAUUAGUGGGAUGCCCAAACAAACCCAUGGCACCAAAAGAUCCAGGAGAGCAAUCCACAGAAACUCAAAGUCUUAUGCCAGAAUAAGGAAACCACAGCACUAUGGAGAAGGGAGAAGGUAUCACUUCCUCUUUCUGACAGGGCAGGUGAGAUUGGGAUGGAGGGGUGGGGACCAGGUGGACCCUAAAUUGCUUCAGCCUCAGUCAGGGCACACUUAGGAAAUGGGAAGGGGUCUGUGGGGAAGUGAGUGGCACCCAGCCAUCAGGAGCUGAGGAAGGCUGAAGCCAGGAAACCUGGUGAGACAGACUCUACCCACCUGUGAGUUAGGUGCUGUGCCAGAAGGAUUGCGUCUGAGUAUGAGCACGCACAUGUGUGGCUUAGGGGACUCCCCAGUGAUAUUUAAUUUUAAUUAUUUUUGAAACAUAGAAAUAGUGUGAUGGUCUAUAUAGUCUUUUGGGAAUUGCUUUUGUCAAUCAAUAUCAGGUUAGUAUGUUUGAGUGAUGGUGCUUAUAUCUUUAGUUCAUUCAGUUCCACCAUGUAAAUAUGCAAUUUGUUAUUUAUUCUGCAUGCAUAUUAUACAUGUUGUUUUAAAAAAUGGGGUCCAGGGUAACUGAAUUUUAGCUAUAAAUUAUGUAAAAUCUCAGUUCAAACAAAUUUUAGAUGUACUGGGGACCUGAUAUUUAAAGGUUAGUGUUGAAAGGCACAUAUAAUAUUUUUCCCACGGGUGGGCAACAGAACAGCUAGGGCCAUAUGGUGCCCAGUGUAUUAAAGAACACACAACCUGAUAAGUAGAUAAGCCAGACUAAUAGACGAUAAGCAGAAAUGCAAACAGAUAAACCCAGUUAUCAGUAAGGGAGGGUGUAUGGGCUUGCUUCGGCAGGUGGUCUAGAUCUUUGGCAAAUGAUAAGGCAAUUUGUAGGAAUGGCUUUUGGUAAAUAAAAUAGUUAUCAGGAGGCAGGCAAGGUUCACAUGAGAAGCAAAGAUGUAUCAAUUUCUCCUGCAGGAAUUCUCUCAGUGAGUGCAAAGAUGAUUGGGGGGAAAAGGCCCCAAAGUAGGGAGAAGCAGUUGUUUCAGUCUUUAAGGCCCACUUUGCCUGCUUCCUUCUCAGGCAACAGAGGUGAUGGCAUCUAUUUCCCUUACUUCCCUAGCAGUUGGAAGAACAGAAGGAAAAUAAAAUUAAAUUAAUGAAUGAGAUUUGAAGAGUUAAAAGGUCUAUCCAAAUACCAUUAAGAGCCUGAGGAGGACUGGGGGCCAUGGGAUCUAAUCUACCUUGUCCCCUGGGGACCCACCUCCUACUUUCAGGUCAGCCUUGCAGACAGUGGAUAGGUAAGGGAUGCCUGAAAGACCCUAAUGCCAGCCUCCCCACUCCAUCCAAAUCUCCACUAUCUGACCAUAAGUGUCUGAAAUCCCACUGUUGGAAUGUCAUCUUUCUAUUUUCAAACUUUGAUCCCUUUUAAAAUGCAAAUAACUCCAGGAGAUAAGAGUGUGGAUAUUGAAUCAAAAAGUUGUGGUAGGAAAAUUUGAGAAGAGCGUUUGAUGAUCCUGUAGACCAAGGAGGGUGGCCUGGAGUGGAUGCCAUGGCAGGGGUUGGGUAGGAUAGGGGGCAAGGGCUCAGAUAAUGGACACUGAACAGGAGGACAAGCCUGACCCUGCCCUAGGAAAACCACCUGUGCUUUCGUGUAAGCCUAAAACCUUCAUUUUCCACCCACAAAAGGAGGACAAUCACUUUUGCUGCCUGUUAAAGCUGGCACAAGCUGCCAGGCUGUUUUAGUGGAUUAUAAAGUGAAUGUCAUCAAAGUGUUGGUUAAUAGAUGUGAUGUGCUCUGGGCUCAGUCCUGCUCAGUUCAAUACUGUCAUUGGGGCCUAGGUUAAACAUACUGUGUUUCUUGUAUAUUUUAAUAUGGAUAGAAUGUAUGACUAACAAGCAUGUACUCAGGGAAUAUGCCGAAUAACAGAUGUAAACAGGAUCCAGAAAAAUCUUGAGAGCCUUCAACAAUGGGCCAAAUAUAUAGACCAAGAAAAGACGUUAACAGGAACAAAUGAAAGGUUCUACACCAGGGUCCAAAAAUCAGCCACCCAAGUACAGGAAGAGGAGAUGUGGCUUAGGAAACCUCUCUCAGUAUGAUGUGAGGCCUUGGGUUGAUGUGUCUCCACAAAAAUUGGCAAAAAGCAAAUGAGAAAUAAGGCCAACUCAAUAGAAGUGUAUCAUGUAGAAAGAGGUAAGCCUUGCUCAGCUCUGCUCUUGUCGAUGUGCCUGGAUUAUUUUCAUUUUAGUUGCCCCAUUAAAAAAGAGUUGCAUAAGCAACCUUAUAUUAGUAAUAACAGGACUUUAAAAAUCAAUCUAAUAAGUCAA